AGGGUUUGCGUUGAGGAUUCUAACCUUCUGACGGCUAGUCACAAGACUGCAAGGACAUCCAGAUGUCGAAAUCAGUCCUAAUUCUAAUUCUUCAGCUCGUUACAAGUCACUAUCAAGCGGCAGCACAAUCCAAAGGGGCGUGUACAGCUAAUGAGUUUAUCUGUACCGACGGCCAGUGUGUGUCAUCCGAGAAGAGAUGCGACGGAAACUUCGAUUGCA